ensembl:snRNA U6 U6 spliceosomal RNA
CGUUUCAGCAGCACAUACUGUAUACUAAAAUCAGAACAAUACAGAGGAGAUUAGCAUGGCCCCUGCUCAAGGAUGACAAGCAAAUUUGUGAACCGUUCAUAUUUUUU